AAAGCUAAGUGGCAGAAAUGGUAUCCUGGUGUUUCAGACUGUGUAGGGCCUGGAGAGACAGUGCAUGACUUAUGGUGCCCAUACACUUUAGACAAAUGUUGGCCAAACUUAUCAACUUUGGCAGGUUUGUCCAACUGUCUAAUUUGUUUGGAGGCCUCUCAACUGAUUCCCAACAGAUGAGGGUCAGGAGCAGUGAUCAGUUCUGAUUGGAACAUCUACAUUGUUGAGCGGCUGCUCUUUCUCAUCCUGACUGAUAAAGGAGGGGCCAGGCUGUAAAUUCCACCUUGAUCAGGCAGACACAACUCUUAAGACAGCACAUUAUCGGGACAUUCUGUUACAUCCAAUUACAAAUGAAAGACCACAACUAUGAUUUGCAAAGAUGCUAUCACCAGGUUCUCUAUUCACUCAAGCAUAAGUGAAAAUUUUUGUCUCAACUUUGGAUUAACACGACACUAAUUUAUGGCUGCAGCAACACAACCUUUUAUCUGGCACCAUAUAUCUCAGUGACAGCUGUGGCAUUUCAAUGAGAACAAAAAAAAAAAAGGCAACUCAGCACUGUUAAUAGGAUUCUUCAGCCCGAUGGUUCAUUUGUGGAAAGUGUUUGUUUUAAUCAAGAAAAUAGUUUGGCAAAGUGUUGUUUAAUAAAG